CAUCUAGAAGGUUUACGAUUCACGUUGCCCAAAAUAAAAGGUAGAUAAUAGGAAGUAGGGGAUGGAUCUUUUUCCAAUGGGAAGGAGAUCAAGAUAUGGAGGAGAGAGGGGGAGGAGAGGGAAAGGGGAUGAAACCAGAAUGAAGAAGUGUCAGUGAUGUGGACCAGCUCCGCUCUAGUCAUAUAAUCUUUAUGCACUGCAAACGCGUACCCUAAAAAAUGAAUACUGGAAAAUAUAUAAAAUCAGCAGCUAUGGCCGCUCCUAACAGGUGCGCCCGCCCGUGCUUCGGAGCGUCGAAGCCAGAUUUUGACUUCUCAGCUCUGCAAGCCCGGGGUGUCCCCUUCCCCAGACCUCGGGGAGCCGCCUCUUCAGCUUCUGCCCGCCCUGGGCCUCCCCUGACGGAAGCUUCGGUGUUGUGUCCGAUGCCGCGCGGGGUUGCUCUUCCACCGGGACAUUUAGCUCCGUCCAUGGCGAUAACAUCACCUCACUCUUCCCGUGGUCGCUUCAGAUUUCCCACAACGUUUCCUUUGUGAUCACGGUCACCGUGCCAGGCCUGGCUUUGUCCUCGGCUUUCCACGGGACUUCCUCGCGCGAAGCUUAAUCAUUUUUGCUUCCGAUUUAGAGACACAGGACUGUUGCUCUCAGUUAAGCAUUUUGGGGCCAUCGUGCGGGCACUGGUUGGUUUAAUUUCAGUAUCAUUUUUUUAGGAGGCCCAGGAGAGGGAUAAAGACAGGCUGUUUGGAGCGUGAAGCAGUCAGAACAUGGACAGUGUUUAUGAGAAUGGUUUUCCACCUUAUAUUGGGGUGUGAGACCCCAAAACAAUUAGAACAGUGACGUCAAAGAUGACUAGUCACAGAGCACCGCAACACAGAGCAGUCACCGAGAGAAGGGAGAUACUGGAUAAUCAACCCAUGGGACCCACGGACACAGUGGACAUGUGACACCGGAAAACCAGGCCCCAGAUCGCUCAGCACAAGGCUGUCACAAACCUCAGUUGCAAAUGCAAACCAACACAGUAUCUUCAAAGCUCAAGAAAGCAAAAUAAAAGGAGGCAGGCCUGGAAUGCACUCACACCCCAGCUGUUCUAACCAAGAGUGGAAAACCAUCCUUCUGCACGUACGCUCCCACAGCUGCUCUGCUCGCCUCACCCCAGCGCGCACUGGGCCUGCCUGCCCCAUGACUGUCUCCCGAUUACCAGUGCUCUGCUCCCUGUGAAGAGCCAAAGGCUCCCGGCCAGAGAAGAGAGAGAGAAGUCACUGGUUACAUGGGCCCAGUGGCUCACUUAACAAUCCUUAUGAUCUUCGUGUGAGUGAGAGACAAACAUGCUGAGGAAGUACCUGGACCGACUGAUAUCCCAAAUCAACCAAUCAUUUCCUGCAACUGCUCCAACUUUGAAGGUGUUUUUUAAGCACCAGUGUGCUGACAUUAAAGGUAUCUGUUCUGAUUCAAG